CUGCCCCAGAAAGAACAAGAGAGGACACUGGAGAGCCUCUUGGUCCUAGAGUGCUGGCUAUGUACAGAGAUAGAAGGGAAGUGUGGAUGCAGGGACCCAAUGCUCUGUGCUCCUAUGCCCCCCAGUGGGCCAAUAUCCAAAGACCUUGAGUGCAAGGGGCUACUGGCAACAAACAAUACUUAUGGACUGCCCGAAGAACAGUGGACCUUGGCGUGGGCCGGGUAACCCACUAGUUCAUAGUCAUCCCUGACUGCCCCUAUCCCUUGCUCAUGAGAAAAUUGCUCUCCAAAAUGGCUUGCGUGGGCUGAAAUGGCUGGGUGAGGCCAUGUGUAUGCAUAUCUACAGACUGUGUAUGUGGAGCUUAAGACCUGUCUCAGUGCACCAGUACCUGAUGCUGGGAGAUGUGUGACUUAGUCCUGAUCUGCCUGGAACACAUCACUCCUGCCAACCGGGCACUAACAAUUAUCACCCAAUCCAGGACUUAAACUGUGAUAGAGUGGCUGAUGUUCUGCCUUUGAAUAGAGU
rnacentral:lncRNA from 1 species